rnacentral:snRNA from 1 species
CCACUUACCUGGCAGAGUAGAGACCGUGGUCACGAAGGGAGUUCUCCCAGAGUGAAGCUUCUUCAUCACACUCUAGAGUUGCUGAUUCCUGUAAUUUCCUCAAUGUGAGAAACGUUGUUUGUGCUAGAAGAGGGCUGCCCUCUU